GGGAAAAAUGAAUGGAGUUUAUUAACCCGUACUUCCGGAUUAAUUCUCUGUCACGAAAGUACUAGUCCCAGUUAUUCAUAUUGAAAAAUGAAAGAACCUAAUAUUAUCGAUUAAGGGUCUUCCAAAACAUAAUUGUGACACGUAUGUCCCGGCUCAGUGUUAAAGUUAAAGAAUAAAGUCGUGUUUCAAAUUUUUGAUGGAUCAUUUCUUAAUCCCAUAUCGACGUUCCGUUUUAUACAAAAUUGAUCAACUUUAAAAAAAUUAUUUGUAUAUUGGGAAGAAUUCUAAAUCAAGGAGAAGUAAAACUUGUCAAUAAUUAAACAAAUGCAAAUUAAAUAAAUAUUUGUUGCGUUUAUACCCUCCAAAAUGGGUAAAAAUGGAACGAGUUUAUUAACCCGUACUUCCUGAUUAAUUCUCAGUGUUAAAGUUAAAGAAAAAAGUCGUGUCUCAAAUUUUUGAUGGAUCAUUUCUUAAUCCCAUAUCGACGUACCAUUUUAUACAAAAUUGAUCAACAUUAAAAAAAUUAUUUGUAAAUUGGGCAGAAUUCUACAUCCAGGAGAAGUAAAACUUGUCAAUAAUUAAACAAAUGCAAAUUAAAUAAAUAUUUGUUGCGUUUAUACCCUCCA